CAGCCGCCGCGGUAAUACGGAGGGUGCAAGCGUUAAUCGGAAUUACUGGGCGUAAAGCGCACGCAGGCGGUUUGUUAAGUCAGAUGUGAAAUCCCCGAGCUUAACUUGGGAACUGCAUUUGAAACUGGCAAGCUAGAGUCUUGUAGAGGGGGGUAGAAUUCCAGGUGUAGCGGUGAAAUGCGUAGAGAUCUGGAGGAAUACCGGUGGCGAAGGCGGCCCCCUGGACAAAGACUGACGCUCAGGUGCGAAAACGUGGGGAGCAAACAGGAUUAGAGACCCGCGUAGUCCCUGUCUCUUAUAC
rnacentral:rRNA from 1 species